ACACAAACCCCGAGAAAGCAUUCCUGGAAAUCUCGGCCCAAAAAAGGACGUUUAGUAAUUCUAAAAGGGACUACAGGAUGAAAAACAAUAGUUUUGGCAGUUAAAGUUUGAGAUUCGAUAAUGCCGUAGAUCCGUUUGGUCAUCAGGUGUAACGAGCCACACCCAUGUCUGGUUAGAGUAGUGUGCUAGGCUCAGACUAGAUAAGAAACGGGGAACAAACUGAUGAAAGAAUGAUCAUACCGAGCGAAUUCACUCAGAACUAACAAGAAUGAUAACAUGCUCCGACUGGAGCGGUUUAGGAACUGCUGGAAGGCUCUAGGGGAAUAAAGAUGGAAUGACUUCUAAUUUUUAGGUCCGUAUGAUUUGAAAUACUUGCACACAAACCACGCGAAAGCGUUCCUGGAAAUCUCAGCCCAAAAAAGGACGUUUAGUAAUUCUAAAAGGGACUACAGGAUGAAAAACAAUAGUUUUGGCAGUUAAAGUUUGAGAUUCGACAGUGCCGUAGAUCCGUUUGGUCAUCAGGUAUUACGAGCCACACCCAUGUCUAGCUAGAAUAGUGUGCUAGGCUCAGGCUAGAGAAGAAACGGGGAACAAACUGAUGAAAGAAUGAUCAAACCGAGGGAAUUCACUCAGAACUAACAAUAAUGAUAACGUGCUCCGACUGGUGCGGUUUAGGAACUGCUGGAAGGCUCUAGGGGAAUAAAGAUGGAAUGACUUCUAAUUUUUAGGUCCGUAUGAUUUGAAAUACUUGCACACAAACCGCGCGAAAGCGUUCCUGGAAAUCUCAGCCCAAAAAAGGACGUUUAGUAAUUUUAAAAGGGACUAUAGGAUGAAAAACAAUAGUUUUGGCAAUUAAAGUUUGAGAUUCGACGGUGUCGUAGAUCCGUUUGGUCAUCAGGUGUUACGAGCCACACCCAUGUCUAGCUAGAAUAGUAUGUCAGGCUCAGGUUAGAGUAGAAACGGGGAACAAACUGAUGAAAGAAUGAUCAUACCAAGGGAAUUCACUCAGAACUAUCAAGAAUGAUAACGUGCUCCGACUGGAGUGAUUUAGGAACUGCUGGAAGGCUCUAGGGGAAUAAAGAUGGAAUGACUUCUAAUUUUUACGUCCGUAUGAUUUGAAAUACUUGCACACAAAUCACGCAAAAGCGUUCCUGGAAAUCUCAGCCUAAAAAAGGACGUUUAGUAAUUCUAAAAGGGACUACAGGAUGAAAAACAAUAGUUUGGGCAGUUAAAAUUUGAGAUUCGACGGUGCCGUAGAUCCGUUUGGUCAUCAGGUGUUACGAGCGACACCCUUGUCUAGCUAGAAUAGUGUGUUAGGCUCAGACUAGAGAAGAAACGGGGAACAAAGUGAUGAAAGAAUGAUCAUACCGAGGGAAUUCACUCAGAACUAACAAGAAUGAUAACGUGCUCCGACUGGAGCGGUUUAGUAACUGCUGGAAGGCUCUAGGGGAAUGAAGAUGGAAUGACUUCUAAUUUUUAGGUCCGUAUGAUUUGAAAUACAUGCACACAAACCCUGAGAAAGCGUUCCUGGAAAUCUCGGUCGAAAAAAGGAUGUUUAAUAAUUCUAAAAGGGACUACCGGAUGAAAAACAAUAGUUUUGGCAGUUAAAGUUUGUGAUUCGAUGGUGCCGUAGAUCUGUUUGGUCAUCAGGUGUUACGAGCCACACCCAUGUCUAUCUAGAAUAGUGUGUUAGGCUCAGGCUAGAGCAGAAACGGGGAACAGACUUAUGAAAGAAUGAUCAUACCGAGGGAAUUCACUCAGAACUAACAAGAAUGAUAACGUGCUCCGACUGGCGCGGUUUAGGAACUGCUGGAAGGCUCUAGGGGAAUAAAGAUGGAAAGACUUCUAAUUUUUAGGUCCGUAUGAUUUGAAAUACUUGCACACAAACCGCACGAAAGCGUUCCUGGAAAUCUCAGCCUAAAAAGGAUGUUUAGUAAUUCUAAAAGGGACUACAAGAUGAAAAAUAAUAGUUUGGGCAGUUAAAAUUUGAGAUUCGACGAUGCCGUAGAUCCGUUUGGUCAUCAGGUGUUAUGAGCCACACCCAUGUCUAGCUAGAAUAGUGUGUUAGGCUCAGGCUAGAGAAGAAACGGGGAACAAACUGAUGAAAGAAUGAUCAUACCGAGGGAAUUCACUCAGAACUAACAAGAAUGAUAACGUGCUCCGACUGGAGCAGUUUAGAAACUGCUGGAAGGCUCUAAUGGAAUAAAGAUGGAAUGCCUUCAAAUUUCUAGGUCCGUAUGAUUUGAAAUACUUGCACACAAACCGCUCGAAAGCGUUCCUGGAAAUCUCAGCCCAAAAAAGGACGUUUAGUAAUUCUAAAAGGGACUACAGGAUGAAAAACAAUAGUUUUGGCAGUUAAAGUUUGAGAUUCGAUGGUGCCGUAGAUCCGUUUGGUCAUCAGGUGUAACGAGCCACACACAUGUCUAGCUAGAGUAGUGUGCUAGGCUCAGACUAGAGAAGAAACGGGGAACAAAGUGAUGAAAGAAUGAUCAUACCGAGGGAAUUCACUCAGAACUUACAAGAAUGAUAACGUGCUCCGACUGGAGCGCUUUAGUAACUGCUGGAAGGCUCUAGGCGAAUAAAGAUGGAAUGACUUCUAAUUUUUAGGUCCGUAUGAUUUGAAAUACUUGCACACAAACCACGCAAAACCGUUCCUAGAAAUCUCGGUCGAAAAAAGGACGUUUAGUAAUUCUAAAAGGGACUACAGGAUGAAAAACAAUAGUUUUGGCAGUUAAAGUUUGAGAUUCGAUGGUGCCGUAGAUCCGUUUGGUCAUCAGGUGUUACGAGCCACACCCAUGUCUAGCUAGAGUAGUGUGCUAGGUUCAGACUAGAGAAGAAACGGGGAACAAAGUGAUUAAAGAAUGAUCAUACCGAGGGAAUUCACUCAGAACUAACAAGAAUGAUAACGUGCUCCGACUGGAGCGGUUUAGGAACUGCUGGAAGGCUCUAGGGGAAUAAAGAUGGAAUGACUUCUAAUUUUUACGUCCGUAUGAUUUGAAAUACAUGCACACAAACCACGCAAAAGCGUUCCUGGAAAUCUCAGCCUAAAAAAGGACGUUUAGUAAUUCUAAAAGGGACUACAGGAUGAAAAAUAAUAGUUUGGGCAGUUAAAAUUUGAGAUUCGACGCUGCCGUAGAUCCGUUUGGUCAUCAGGUCUUACGAGCCACACCCAUGUCUAGCUAGAAUAGUGUGUUAGGCUCAGGCUAGAGAAGAAACGGGGAACAAACUGAUGAAAGAAUGAUCAUACCGAGGGAAUUCACUCAGAACUAACAAGAAUGAUAACGUGCUCCGACUGGAGCAGUUUAGAAACUCCUGGAAGGCUCUAGGGGAAUAAAGAUGGAAUGACUUCAAAGUUUUAGGUCCGUAUGAUUUGAAAUACUUGCACACAAACCGCGUGAAAGCGUUCCUGGAAAUCUCAACCCAAAAAAGGGCGUUUAGUAAUUCUAAAAGGGACUACAGGAUGUAAAACAAUAGUUUUGGCAGUUAAAGUUUGAGAUUCGAUGGUGCCGUAGAUCCGUUUGGUCAUCAGGUGUAACGAGCCACACCCAUGUCUAGCUAGAGUAGUGUGCUAGGCUCAGACUAGAGAAGAAACGGGGAACAAAGUGAUGAAAGAAUGAUCAUACCGAGGGAAUUCACUCAUAACUAACAAGAAUGAUAACGUGCUCUGACUUGAGCGGUUUAGGAACUGCUGGAAGGCUAUAGGGGAAUAAAGAUGGAAUGACUUCAAAUUUUUAGGUCCGUAUGAUCUGAAAUACUUGCACACAAACCGCGAGAAAGCGUUCCUGGAAAUCUCAACCCAAAAAAGGACGUUUAGUAAUUCUAAAAGGGACUACAGGAUGAAAAACAAUAGUUCUGGCAGUUAUUGUUUGAGAUUCGAUAAUCUCGUAGAUCCGUUUGGUCAUCAGGUGUAACGAGCCACACCCAUGUCUAGCUAGAGUAGUGUGCUAGGCUCAGACUAGAGAAGAAACGGGGAACAAACUGAUGAAAGAAUGAUCAUACCGAGGGAAUUCACUUAGAACUAACAAGAAUGAUAACGUGCUCCGACUGGAGCGGUUUAGGAACUGCUGGAAGGCUCUAGGGGAAUAAAGAAGGAACGACUUCUAAUUUUUAGGUCCGUAUGAUUUGAAAUAUGUGCACACAAACCACGAGAAAGCGUUCCUAGAAAUCUCGGCCCAAAAGAGGACGUUUAGUAUUCUAAAAGGGACUACAGAAUGAAAAACAAUAGUUUUGGCAGUUAAAGUUUGAGAUUUGACGGUGCCGUAGAUCUGUUUGGUCAUCAGGGGUUACGAGCCACACCCAUGUCUAGCUAGAAUAGUGUGUUAGGCUCAGGCUAGAAAAGAAACGGGGAACAAAGUGAUGAAAGAAUGAUCAUACCGAGGGAAUUCACUCAGAACUAACAAGAAUGAUAACAUGCUCCGACUGGAGCGGUUUAGGAACUGCUGGAAGGCUCUAGGGGAAUAAAGAUGGAAUGACUUCUAAUUUUUAGGUCCGUAUGAUUUGAAAUACUUGCACACAAACCGCGCGAAAGCGUUCCUGGAAAUCUCAGCCCAAAAAAGGACGUUUAGUAAUUCUAAAAGGGACUACAGGAUGAAAAACAAUAGUUUUGGCAGUUAAAGUAUGAGAUUCAACGGUGCCGUAGAUCCGUUUGGUCAUUAGGUGUUACGAGCCACACCCAUGUCUAGCUAGAAUAGUGUGCUAGGCUCAGGCUAGAGAAGAAACGGGGAACAAACUGAUGAAAGAAUGAUCAAACCGAGGGAAUUCACUCAGAACUAACAAUAAUGAUAACGUGCUCCGACUGGAGCGGUUUAGGAACUGCUGGAAGUCUCUAGGGGAAUAAAGAUGGAAUGACUUCUAAUUUUUACGUUCGUAUGAUUUGAAAAACUUGCCCAUAAACCGCGCGAAAGUGUUCCUGGAAAUCUCAGCCCAAAAAAGGACGUUUAGUAAUUUUAAAAGGGACUACACGAUGAAAAACAAUAGUUUUGGCAGGUAAAGUUUGAGAUUCGACAGUGCCGUAGAUCCGUUUGGUCAUCAGGUGUUACGAGCCACACCCAUGUCUAGCUAGAAUAGUAUGUUACGCUCAGGUUAGAGAAGAAACGGGGAACAAACUGAUGAAAGAUGAUCAUACCAAGGGAAUUCACUCAGAACUAACAAGAAUGAUAACGUGCUCCGACUGGAGCGGUUUAGGAACUGCUGGAAGGCUCUAGGGGAAUAAAGAUGGAAUGACUUCUAAUUUUUACGUCUGUAUGAUUUGAAAUACUUGCACACAAACAACGCAAAAGCAUUCCUGGAAAUCUCAUCCUAAAAAAGGACGUUUAGUAAUUCUAAAAGGGACUACAGGAUGAAAAAUAAUAGUUUGGGAAGUUAAAAUUUGAGAUUCGAUAGUGCCGUAGAUCCGUUUGGUCAUCAGGUGUUAGGAGCCACACCCAUGUCUAGCUAGAAUAGUGUGUUAGGCUCAGGCUAGAGAAGAAACAGGGAACAAACUGAUGAAAGAAUGAUCAUACCGAGGGAAUUCACUCAGAACUAGCAAGAAUGAUAACGUGCUCCGACUGGAGCAGUUUUGAAACUGCUGGAAGGCUCUAGGGGAAUAAUGAUGGAAUGACUUCUAAGUUUUUGGUCCGUAUGAUUUGAAAUACGUGCACACAAACCCAGAGAAAGUGUUCUUGGAAAUCUCGGCCGAAAAAAGGAUGUUUAAUAAUUCUAAAAGGGACUACAGGAUGAAAAACAAUAGUUUUGGCAGUUAAAGUUUGUGAUUCGAUGGUGCUGUAGAUCUGUUUGGUCAUCAGGUGUUAUGAGCCACACCCAUGUCUAGCUAGAACAGUGUGUUAGGCUCAGGCUAGAGCAGAAACGGGGAACAAACUUAUGAAAGAAUGAUCAUACCGAGGGAAUUCACUCAGAACUAACAAGAAUGAUAACGUGCUCCGACUGGAGAGGUUUAGGAACUGCUGGAAGGCUCUAGGGGAAUAAAGAUGGAAUGACUUCAAAUUUUUAGGUCUGUAUGAUCUGAAAUACUUGCACACAAACCGCGAGAAAGCGUUCCUGGAAAUCUCAGCCCAAAAAAGGACGUUUAGUGAUUCUAAAAGGGACUACGGGAUAAAAAACAAUAGUUUUGGCAGUUAAAGUUUGAGAUUCGAUAAUGCCGUAGAUCCGUUUGGUCAUCAGGUGUAACGAGCCACACCCAUGUCUAGCUAGAGUAGUGUGCUAGGCUCAUACUAGAGAAGAAAUGGGGAACAAACUGAUGAAAGAAUGAUCAUACCGAGGGAGUUCACUCAAAACUAACAUGAAUGAUAACGUGCUCCGACUGGAGCGGUUUAGGAACUGCUGGAAGGCUCUAGGGGAAUAAAGAUGGAAUGACUUCUAAUUUUUAGGUCCGUAUGAUUUGAAAUACAUGCACACAAACCCCAAGAAAGCGUUCCUGGAAAUCUCGCCCCGAAAAACGACGUUUAGUAAUUCUAAAAGGGACUAUAGGAUGAAAAACAAUAGUUUUGGCAGUUAAAGUUUGAGAUUUGACGGUGCCGUAGAUCUGUUUGGUCAUCAGGUGUUACGAGCCACACCCAUUUCUAGCUAGAAUAGUGUGUUAGGCUCAGGCUAGAAAAGAAACGGGGAACAAAGUGAUGAAAGAAUGAUCAUACCGAGGGAAUUCACUCAGAACUAACAAGAAUGAUAACAUGGUCCGACUGGAGCGGUUUAGGAACUGCUGGAAGGCUCUAGGGGAAUAAAGAUGGAAUGACUUCUAACUUUUAGGUCCGUAUGAUUUGAAUUACUUGCACACAAACCGCGCGAAAGCGUUCCUGGAAAUCUCAGCCCAAAAAAGGACGUUUAGUAAUUCUAAAAGGGACUACAGGAUGAAAAACAAUAGUUUUGGCAGUUAAAGUUUGAGAUUCGACGGUGCCGUAGAUCCGUUUGGUCAGCAGGUGUUACGAGCCACACCCAUGUCUAGCUAGAGUAGUGUGCUAGGUUCAGACUAGAGAAGAAAUGUUGGGGAACGUAGCAGAAAUUCAAAAUUUUCCUACGUGUCACCAAGAUCUAUCUAUGGAGAGACUAGCAACGAGGGAAGGAGAGUGCAUCUACAUACCCUUGUAGAUCGCUAAGCGGAAGCGUUCAAGUGAACGGGGUUGAUGGAGUCGUACUCGUCGUGAUUCAGCUCACCGAUGAUCCUAGUGCCGAACGGACGGCACCUCCGCGUUCAACACACGUACAGCUCGACGAUGUCUCCCACGCCUUGAUCCAGCAAGGAGAGAGGGAGAGGUUGAGGAAGACUCCAUCCAGCAGAAGCACAACGGCGUGGUGGUGAUGGAGGAGCAUGGCAAUCCUGCAGGGCUUCGCCAAGCACCUAUGGGAGAGGAGGAGGUGUCACGGGAGGGAGGGAGGCGCCAAGGGCUCAGGUAUAGAUGCCCUCCCUCCCCUCCACUAUAUAUAGGGGCAAGGGAGAGGGGGGAGGCGCAGCCUUGCCCCUUCCUCCAAGGAAGGGGUGCGGCUAAGAGGGGGGGAGGAGUCCAUCCUCCCCAAGGCACCUCGGAGGUGCCUUCCCCCUUUAGGACUCUCCCCUUUUUCCUAUAUCUUGGCGCAUGGGCCUCUAGGGGCUGGUUCCCUUGGCCCAUGUAGGCCCAGGCGCACCCCCUACAGCCCAUGUGGCCCCCCGGGGCAGGUGGCCCCACCUGGUGGGCCCCCGGGACCCUUCCGGUGGUCCCGGUACAAUACCGAUGACCCCGAAACUUGUCCCGAUGGCCGAAACAGGACUUCCUAUAUAUAAAUCUUUACCUCCGGACAAUUCCGGAACUCCUCGUGACGUCCGGGAUCUCAUCCGGGACUCCGAACAACAUUCGGUAACCACAUACAAACUUCCUUUAUAACCCUAGCGUCAUCGAACCUUAAGUGUGUAGACCCUACGGGUUCGGGAGACAUGUAGUCAUGACCGAGAUGUUCUCCGGUCAAUAACCAACAGCGGGAUCUGGAUACCCAUGUUGGCUCCCACAUGUUCCACGAUGAUCUCAUCGGAUGAACCACGAUGUCAAGGACUCAAUCAAUCCCGUAUACAAUUCCCUUUGUCUAGCGGUAUGGUACUUGCCCGAGAUUCGAUCGUCGGUAUACCGAUACCUUGUUCAAUCUCGUUACCGGCAAGUCUCUUUACUCAUUUCGUAACACAUCAUCCCGUGAUCAACCCCUUGGUCACAUUGUGCACAUUAUGAUGAUGUCCUACCGAGUGGGCCCAGAGAUACCUCUCCGUUUACACGGAGUGACAAAAUCCCAAUCUCGAUUCGUGCCAACCCAACAGACACUUUCAGAGAUACCCGUAGUGUACCUUUACAGCCACCCAGUUACGUUGUGACGUUUGGCACACCCAAAGCACUCCUACAGUAUCCGGGAGUUGCACAAUCUCAUGGUCUAAGGAAAUGAUACUUGACAUUAGAAAAGCUUUAGCAUACGAACUACAUGAUCUUGUGCUAGGCUUAGGAUUGGGUCUUGUCCAUCACAUCAUUCUCCUAAUGAUGUGAUCCCGUUAUCAACGACAUCCAAUGUCCAUGGUCAGGAAACCGUAACCAUCUAUUGAUUAACGAGCUAGUCAACUAGAGGCUUACUAGGGACAUGGUGUUGUCUAUGUAUCCACACAUGUAUCUAAGUUUCCUAUCAAUACAAUUCUAGCAUGGAUAAUAAACGAUUAUCAUGAACAAGGAAAUAUAAUAAUAAUCAAUUUAUUAUUGCCUCUAGGGCAUAUUUCCAACAGUCUCCCACUUGCACUAGAGUCAAUAAUCUAGUUCACAUCGAUAUGUGAUUAACACUCAAGGUCACAUUCCCAUGUGACUAACACCCAAGAGUUUACUAGAGUCAAUAAUCUAGUUCACAUUUACCAUGUGAUUAACACUUGAUGAGUUCUGGGUUUGAUCAUGUUAUGCUUGUGAGAGAGGUUAUAGUCAACGGGUCUGAACCUUUCAGAUCCGUGUGUGCUUUACAAAUCUCUAUGUCAUCUCCUAGAUGCAGCUACCACGUUCUAUUUGGAGCUAUUCCAAAUAACUGUUCUACUUGGAGCUAUUCUAAAUUGUUGCUCCAUUAUACGUAUCCGGUAUCUCUACUCAGAGCUAUCCGGAUAGGUGUUAAGCUUGCAUCGACGUAACCCUUUACGACGAACUCUUUUACCACCUCCAUAAUUGAGAAAAUUCCUUAGUCCACUAGUUACUAAGGAUAACUUUGACCGCUGUCCUGUGAUCCAUUCUUGGAUCACUCUUGUACCCCUUGACUGACUCAUGGUAAAGCACACUUCAGGUGCGGUACACAGCAUAGCAUACUGUAGAGCCUAUGUCUUAAGCAUAGGGGACGACCUUCGUUCCUUUCUCUCUAUUCUGCCAUGGUCGAGCUUUAAGUCUUAACUUCAUACCUUACAACUCAGGCAAGAACUCCUUCUUUGACUGAUCCAUCUUGAACACCUUCAAGAUCACGUCAAGGCAUGUGCUCACGUCAAGAUCACGUCGGUAUACCGAUACCUUGUUCAAUCUCGUUACCGGCAAGUCUCUUUACUCGUUCCGUAACACAUCAUCCCGUGAUCAACCCCUUGGUCACAUUGUGCACAUUAUGAUGAUGUCCUACCGAGUGGGCCCAGAGAUACCUCUCCGUUUACACGGAGUGACAAAAUCCCAAUCUCGAUUCGUGCCAACCCAACAGACACUUUCAGAGAUACCCGUAGUGUACCUUUAUAGCCACCCAGUUACGUUGUGACGUUUGGCACACCCAAAGCACUCCUACGGUAUCCGGGAGUUGCACAAUCUCAUGGUCUAAGGAAAUGAUACUUGACAUUAGAAAAGCUUUAGCAUACGAACUACAUGAUCUUGUGCUAGGCUUAGGAUUGGGUCUUGUCCAUCACAUCAUUCUCCUAAUGAUGUGAUCCCGUUAUCAACGACAUCCAAUGUCCAUGGUCAGGAAACCGUAACCAUCUAUUGAUUAACGAGCCAGUCAACUAGAGGCUUACUAGGGACAUGGUGUUGUCUAUGUAUCCACACAUGUAUCUGAGUUUCCUAUCAAUACAAUUCUAGCAUGGAUAAUAAACGAUUAUCAUGAACAAGGAAAUAUAAUAAUAAUCAAUUUAUUAUUGCCUCUAGGGCAUAUUUCCAACAGUCUCCCACUUGCACUAGAGUCAAUAAUCUAGUUCACAUCACCAUGUGAUUAACACUGACAGGUCACAUCACCAUGUGACCAACAUCCAAAGAGUCUUGGGUUUGAUCAUGUUGCUUGUGAGAGAGGUUAUAGUCAACGGGUCUGAACCUUUCAGAUCCGUGUGUGCUUUACAAAUCUCUAUGUCAUCUCCUAGAUGCAGCUACCACGUUCUAUUUGGAGCUAUUCCAAAUAACUGUUCUACUUGGAGCUAUUCUAAAUUGUUGCUCCAUUAUACGUAUCCGGUAUCUCUACUCAGAGCUAUCCGGAUAGGUGUUAAGCUUGCAUCGACGUAACCCUUUACGACGAACUCUUUUACCACCUCCAUAAUUGAGAAAAUUCCUUAGUCCACUAGUUACUAAGGAUAACUUUGACCGCUGUCCUGCGAUCCAUUCUUGGAUCACCCUUGUACCCCUUGACUGACUCAUGGUAAAGCACACUUCAGGUGCGGUACACAGCAUAGCAUACUGUAGAGCCUAUGUCUUAAGCAUAGGGGAUGACCUUCGUUCCUUUCUCUCUAUUCUGCCAUGGUCGAGCUUUAAGUCUUAACUUCAUACCUUACAACUCAGGCAAGAACUCCUUCUUUGACUGGUCCAUCUUGAACACCUUCAAGAUCAUGUCAAGGUAUGUGCUCAUUUGAAAGUACUAUUAAGCGUUUUGAUCUAUCCUUAUAGAUCUUGAUGCUCAAUGUUCAAGUAGCUUAAUCCAGGUUUUCCAUUGAAAACACUUUCCAAAUAACCCUAUAUGCUUUCCAGAAAUUCUACGUCAUUUCUGAUCAUUAAUAUGUCAACAACAUAUAAUCAUCAGAAAUUCUAUAGUGCUCCCACUCACUUCUUUGGAAAUACAAGUUUCUCAUAAACUUUGUAUACACCCAAAAUCUUUGAUCAUCAUCAAAGCAUACAUUCCAACUCCGAGAUGCUCACUCCAGUCCUCAGAAGGAUUGCUGGAGCUUUGCAUACUUAUUAGCAUAUUUCAGGAUAGACAAAACCUUCCAGUUGUAUCACAUACAACCUUUCCUCAAGAAUCGUCGACGAAACAAUGUUUUGACAUCCUAUCUGCAAGAUUUCAUAAAUAAUGCAGUAAUUGUUAAUAUAAUUCCAACAGACUCUUAGCAUCGCUACGAGUGAGAAAGUCUCAUUGUAGUCAACUCCUUGAACUUGUCAAAAAACAUCUUAACGACAAGUCGAGCUUUCUCAAUGGUGACACUUACCAUCAUUGUCUGUCUUCCUUUCAAAAUCCAUAUGUACCUAACAGCCUUACGACCAUCAAGUAGUUCUUCCAAAGUCUACACUUUGUUUUCAUACAUGGAUCCUCUCUCGGGUUUUAUGGCCAUGAGCCAUUUAUCGGAAUCCGGGCCCACCAUUGCUUCUCCAUAGCUCGUAGGUUCAUUGUUGUCUAGCAACAUGACUUCCAAGACAGGAUUACUGUACCACUCUGAAGUAGUACGUAUCCUUGUCACCCUACGAGGUUUGGGAGUGACUUGAUCUGAAGUUUCAUGAUCACUAUCAUAAGCUUCUACUUCAAUUGGUGUAGGUGCCACAGGAACAACUUCCUGUGCCCUGCUACACACUGGUUGAAGUGAUGGUUCAAUAACCUCAUCAAGUCUCCACCAUCCUCCCACUCAAUUCUUUCGAGAGAAACCUUUCCUCGAGAAAGGACCCAAUUCUAGAAACAAUUCAUAUUGCUUUCGGAUCUGAAUUAGGAAGUAUACCCAACUGUUUUGGGUGUCCUAUGAAGAUGUACUUUAUCCGCUUUGGUUUCGAGCUUAAUCCUGAAACUUUUUCACAUAAGUGUCGCAGCCCCAAACCUUUAAGAAACGACAACUUAGGUUUCUCUAAACCAUAAUUCAUACGGUGUCAUCUCAUCGGAAUUACGUGGUGCCCUAUUUAAAGUGAAUGUGGUUGUCUUUAAUGCCUAACCCAUAAACUAUCGUGGCAGUUCGAUAAGAGACAUCAUGGUAUGCAUCAUAUCCAAUAGGGUGCAACUAUGAUGUUCGGACACACCAUCACACUAUGGUGUUCCAGGCGGUAUUAAUUGUGAAACAAUUUCCACAAUGUCUUAAUUGUGUGCCAAAACUCGUAACUCAGAUACUCAUCUCUAUGAUCAUAUCAUAGACAUUUUAUCCUCUUGUCACAAUGAUCUUCUACUUCACUCUGAAAUUACUUGAACCAUUCAACAAUUCAGACUUGUGUUUCAUCAAGUAAAUAUUCUCAACAUCUACUCGAAUCAUCUGUGAAGUAAGAACAUAACGAUAUUCACUGCAUGCCUCAGCACUCAUUGGACUGCACACAUCAAAAUGUGUUACUUCCAACAAGUUGCUAUCUUGUUCCAUCUUACUGAAAACGAGGCUUUUCAGUCAUCUUGCCCAUGUGGUAUGAUUUGCAUGUCCCAAGUGAUUCAAAAAUCAAGUGAGUCAAAACGGUCCAUUUGCAUGGAGUUUCUUCAUGCAUAUACACCAAUAGACAUGGUUCGCAUGUCUCAAACUUUUCAAAAACGAGUGAGCCCAAAGAUCCAUCAAUAUGGAGCUUCUUCAUGCGUUUUAUACCGAUAUGACUUACGUGGUAGUGCCACAAGUAGGUGGUACUAUCAUUACUAUCUUUUGGCAUGAACAUGUGUAUCACUACGAUCGAGAUUUAAUAAACCAUUCAUUUUAGGUGUAAGACCAUUGAAGGUAUUAUUCAAAUAAACAGAGUAACCAUUAUUCUCCUUAAAUGAAUAACCGUAUUGCGAUAGACGUAAUCCAAUCAUGUCUAUGCUCAACGCAAACACCAAAUAACAAUUAUUUAGGUUUAACACCAAUCUCUUUGGUAGAGGGAGCGUGCGAUGCUUGAUCAUAUCAAGCAUGGAAAAACUUACAACACAUAUCGUCAGCUCACCUUUAGCUAGUCUCUGUUUAUUCCGUAGCCUUUUGUUUCGAGUUACUAACACUUAGCAACCGAACUGGUAUCUAAUACCCUGGUGCUACUAGGAGUACUAGCAAAGUACACAUUAACACAAUGUAUAUCCAAUAUACUUCUAUCGACCUUGCCAGCCUUCUUAUCUACCAAGUAUCUAGGGUAAUUCUGCUCUAGUAGUUGUUCCCCUUAUUACAGAAGCACUUAGUCUCGGGUUUGGGUUUUACCUUGGGUUUCUUCACUAGAGCAGCAGCUGAUUUGCCGUUUCAUGAAGUAUCCCUUCUUGCCCUUGCCCUUCUUGAAACUAGUGGUUCCACCAACCAUCAACAAUUGAUGCUCCUUCUUGAUUUCUACUUUCGCGGUGUCAAACAUCGCGAAUACCUCAAGGAUCAUCAUAUCUAUCCCUGAUAUGUUAUAGUUCAUCAUGAAGCUCUAACAGCUUGGUGGCAAUGACUUUGGAGAACCAUCACUAUCUCAUCUGGAAGAUCAACUCCCACUCGAUUCAAGCGAUUGUUGUACUCAGACAAUCUGAGCACAAGCUCAACGAUUGAGCUUUUCUCCCUUAGUUUGCAGGUUAAGAAAGUCAUCGGAGGUCUUAUACCUCUUGACAUGGGCACGAGCCUGAAAUCCCAAUUUCAGCCCUCAAAACAUCUCAUAUGUUUCGCGAUGUUUCAAAAACGUCUUUGGUGCCUCAACUCUAAACCGUUUAACUGAACUAUCACGUAGUUAUCAAAACGUGUAUGUCAGAUGUUCGCAACAACCACAGACAACGUUCGAGGUUCAGCACACUGAGCGGUGCAUUAAGGACAUAAGCCUUCUAUGAAGCAAUGAGGACAAUCCUCAGUUUACGGACCUAGUCCGCAUAAUUGCUACUAUCAACUUUCAACUAAUUUUUCUCUAGGAACAUAUCUAAACAGUAGAACUAUAGCGUGAGCUACGACAUAAUUUGCAAAAACCUUUUGACUAUGUUCAGGAUAAUUAAGUUCAUCUUAUGAACUCCCACUCAGAUAGACAUCCCUCUAGUCAUCUAAGUGAUUACAUGAUCCGAGUCAAACUAGGCCGUGUCCGAUCAUCACGUGAGACGGACUAGUCAUCAUCGGUGAACAUCUUCAUGUUGAUCGUAUCUUCUAUACGACUCAUGUUCGACCUUUCGGUCUUCGUGUUCCGAGGCCAUGUAUGUACAUGCUAGGCUCGUCAAGUUAACCCUAAGUGUUUCGCGUGUGUAAAUCUGUCUUACACCCGUUGUAUGUGAACGUUAGAAUCUAACACCCGAUCAUCACGUGGUGCUUCGAAACACGAACUGUCGCAACGGUGCACAGUUAGGGGAGAACACUUCUUGAAAUUGUUGUAAGGGAUCAUCUUAUUUACUACCGUCGUUCUAAGCAAAUAAGAUGUAUAAACAUGAUAAACAUCACAUGCAAUCAAAUAGUGACAUGAUAUGGCCAUCAUCACUUUGCUCCUUUUGAUCUCCAUCUUCGGGGCUCCAUGAUCAUCAUCGUCACCGGCAUGACACCAUGAUCUCCAUCAUCAUGAUCUCCAUCAUCGUGUCUUCAUGAAGUUGCCUCGCCAACUAUUACUUCUACUACUAUGGCUAACGGUUAGCAAUAAAGUAAAGUAAUUACAUGACGUUUAAGUUGACACGCAGGUCACAAAUGAAUAAAGACAACUCCUAUGGCUCCUGCCGGUUGUCAUACUCAUCGACAUGCAAGUCGUGAUUCCUAUUACAAGAACAUGAUCAAUCUCAUACAUCACAUAUAUCAUUCAUCACAUCCUUUUUGGCCAUAUCACAUCACAUAGCAUACCCUGCAAAAACAAGUUAGACGUCCUCUAAUUGUUGUUUGCAUGUUUUACGUGGCUGCUAUGGGUUUCUAGCAAGAACGUUUCUUACCUACGCAUGAACAACAACGUGAUAUGCCAAUUGCUAUUUACCCUUCAUAAGGACCCUUUUCAUCGAAUCCGAUCCGACUAAAGUGGGAGAGACAGACACCCGCCAGCCACCUUAUGCAACUAGUGCAUGUUUGUCGGUGGAACCGGUCUCACGUAAGCGUACGUGUAAGGUUGGUCCGGGCCGCUUCAUCCCACGAUGCCGCCGAAUCAAGAUAAGACUAGUAACGGCAAGCAUAUUGAACAAUAUCAACGCCCACAACUACUUUGUGUUCUACUCGUGCAAAGAAUCUACGCAAUAGACCUAGCUCAUGAUGCCACUGUUGGGGAACGUAGCAGAAAUUCAAAAUUUUCCUACGUGUCACCAAGAUCUAUCUAUGGAGAUACUAGCAACGAGGGAAGGAGAGUGCAUCUACAUACCCUUGUAGAUCGCUAAGCGGAAGCGUUCAAGUGAACGGGGUUGAUGGAGUCGUACUCGUCGUGAUUCAGAUCACCGAUGAUCCUAGUGCCGAACGGACGGCACCUCCGCGUUCAACACACGUACAGCUCGACGAUGUCUCCCACGCCUUGAUCCAGCAAGGAGAGAGGGAGAGGUUGAGGAAGACUCCAUCCAGCAGCAGCACAACGGCGUGGUGGUGAUGGAGGAGCGUGGCAAUCCUGCAGGGCUUCGCCAAGCACCUACGGGAGAGGAGGAGGUGUCACGGGAGGGAGGGAGGCGCCAAGGGCUCAGGUAUAGAUGCCCUCCCUCCCCUCCACUAUAUAUAGGGGCAAGGGAGAGGGGGAGGCGCAUCCUUGCCCCUUCCUCCAAGGAAGGGGUGCGGCUAAGAGGGGGGGAGGAGUCCAUCCUCCCCAAGGCACCUCGGAGGUGCCUUCCCCCUUUAGGACUCUCCCCUUUUUCCUAUAUCUUGGCGCAUGGGCCUCUAGGGGCUGGUGCCCUUGGCCCAUGUAGGCCAAGGCGCACCCCCCUACAGCCCAUGUGGCCCCCCGGGGCAGGUGGCCCCACCCGGUGGGCCCCCGGGACCCUUCCGGUGGUCCCGGUACAAUACCGAUGACCCCGAAACUUGUCCCGAUGGCCGAAACAGGACUUCCUAUAUAUAAAUCUUUACCUCCGGACCAUUCCGGAACUCCUCGUGACGUCCGGGAUCUCAUCCGGGACUCCGAACAACAUUCGGUAACCACAUACAAACUUCCUUUAUAACCCUAGCGUCAUCGAACCUUAAGUGUGUAGACCCUACGGGUUCGGGAGACAUGUAGUCAUGACCGAGAUGUUCUCCGGUCAAUAACCAACAGCGGGAUCUGGAUACCCAUGUUGGCUCGCACAUGUUCCACGAUGAUCUCAUCGGAUGAACCACGAUGUCAAGGACUCAAUCAAUCCCGUAUACAAUUCCCUUUGUCUAGCGGUAUGGUACUUGCCCGAGAUUCGAUCGUCGGUAUACCGAUACCUUGUUCAAUCUCGUUACCGGCAAGCCUCUUUACUCGUUCCGUAACACAUCAUCCCGUGAUCAACCCCUUGGUCACAUUGUGCACAUUAUGAUGAUGUCCUACCGAGUGGGCCCAGAGAUACCUCUCCGUUUACACGGAGUGACAAAAUCCCAAUCUCGAUUCGUGCCAACCCAACAGACACUUUCAGAGAUACCCGUAGUGUACCUUUAUAGCCACCCAGUUACGUUGUGACGUUUGGCACACCCAAAGCACUCCUACGGUAUCCGGGAGUUGCACAAUCUCAUGGUCUAAGGAAAUGAUACUUGACAUUAGAAAAGCUUUAGCAUACGAACUACAUGAUCUUGUGCUAGGCUUAGNNNNNNNNNNUGAUCAACCCCUUGGUCACAUUGUGCACAUUAUGAUGAUGUCCUACCGAGUGGGCCCAGAGAUACCUCUCCGUUUACACGGAGUGACAAAAUCCCAAUCUCGAUUCGUGCCAACCCAACAGACAUUUUCAGAGAUACCCGUAGUGUACCUUUAUAGCCACCCAGUUACGUUGUGACGUUUGGCACACCCAAAGCACUCCUACGGUAUCCGGGAGUUGCACAAUCUCAUGGUCUAAGGAAAUGAUACUUGACAUUAGAAAAGCUUUAGCAUACGAACUACAUGAUCUUGUGCUAGGCUUAGGAUUGGGUCUUGUCCAUCACAUCAUUCUCCUAAUGAUGUGAUCCCGUUAUCAACGACAUCCAAUGUCCAUGGUCAGGAAACCGUAACCAUCUAUUGAUUAACGAGCUAGUCAACUAGAGGCUUACUAGGGACAUGGUGUUGUCUAUGUAUCCACACAUGUAUCUGAGUUUCCUAUCAAUACAAUUCUAGCAUGGAUAAUAAACGAUUAUCAUGAACAAGGAAAUAUAAUAAUAAUCAAUUUAUUAUUGCCUCUAGGGCAUAUUUCCAACAAGAAACGGGGAACAAACUGAUGAAAGAAUGAUCAUACCGAGGGAAUUCACUCAGAACUAACAAGAAUGAUAACGUGCUUUGACUGGAGCGGUUUAAAAACUGCUGGAAGGCUCUAGGGGAAUAAAGAUGGAAUGCCUUCAAAUUUCUAGGUCCGUAUGAUUUGAAAUACUUGCACACAAACCGCGCGAAAGCGUUCCUGGAAAUCUCAGCCCAAAAAAGGACGUUUAGUAAUUCUAAAAGGGACUACAGAAUGAAAAACAAUAGUUUUGGCAGUUAAAGUUUGAGAUUCGAUGGUGCCGUAGAUCCGUUUGGUCAUCAGGUGUAACGAGCCACACCCAUGUCUAGCUAGAGUAGUGUGCUAGGCUCAGGCUAGAGAAGAAACGGGGAACAAACUGAUGAAAGAAUGAUCAUACCGAGGGAAUUCACUCAGAACUAACAAGAAUGAUAACGUGCUCCGACUGGAGCGGUUUAGGAACUGCUGGAAGGCUCUAGGGGAAGAAAGAAGGAAUGACUUCUAAUUUUUAGGUCCGUAUGAUUUGAAAUACGUGCACACAAACCGCGCGAAAGCGUUCCUGGAAAUCUCAGCCCAAAAAAGGACGUUUAGUAUUCUAAAAGGGACUACAGAAUGAAAAACAAUAGUUUUGGCAGUUAAAGUUUGAGAUUCGACGGUGCCGUAGAUCCGUUUGGUCAUCAGGUGUUACGAGCCACACCCAUGUCUAGCUAGAAUAGUGUGCNNNNNNNNNNNNNNNNNNNNNNNNNCGUAUGAUUUGAAAUACGUGCACACAAACCGCGCGAAAGCGUUCCUGGAAAUCUCAGCCCAAAAAAGGACGUUUAGUAUUCUAAAAGGGACUACAGAAUGAAAAACAAUAGUUUUGGCAGUUAAAGUUUGAGAUUCGACGGUGCUGUAGAUCCGUUUGGUCAUCAGGUGUUACGAGCCACACCCAUGUCUAGCUAGAAUAGUGUGCUAGGCUCAGGCUAGAGAAGAAAAGGGGAACAAACUAAUGAAAGAAUGAUCAAUACGAGGGAAUUCACUCAGAACUAACAAUAAUGAUAACGUGCUCCGACUGGAGCGGUUUAGGAACUGCUGGAAGGCUCUAGGCGAAUAAAGAUGGAAUGACUUCUAAUUUUUACGUCCGUAUGAUUUGAAAUACUUGCACACAAACCACGCAAAAGCGUUCCUGGAAAUCUCGGCCUAAAAAGGACGUUUAGUAAUUCUAAAAGGGACUACAGGAUGAAAAAUAAUAGUUUGGGCAGUUAAAAUUUGAGAUUCGACGGUGCCGUAGAUCCGUUUGGUCAUCAGGUGUUACGAGCCACACCCAUGUCUAGCUAGAAUAGUGUGUUAGGCUCAGGCUAGAGAAGAAACGAGGAACAAACUGAUGAAAGAAUGAUCAUACCAAGGGAAUUCACUCAGAACUAACAAGAAUGAUAACGUGCUCCGACUGGAGCAGUUUAGAAACUGCUGGAAGGCUCUAGGGGAAUAAAGAUGGAAUGACUUCUGAUUUUUAGGUCCGUAUGAUUUGAAAUACGUGCACACAAACCCCGCGAAAGCGUUCCUGGAAAUCUCAGCCCAAAAAAGGACGUUUAGUAAUUCUAAAAGGGACUACAACAUGAAAAACAAUAGUUUUGGCAGUUAAAGUUUGAGAUUUCAUGGUGCCGUAGAUCUGUUUGGUCAUCAGGUGUUACGAGCCACACCCAUGUCUAGCUAGAAUAGUGUGUUAGGCUCAGGCUAGAAAAGAAACGGGAAACAAAGUGAUGAAAGAAUGACCAUACCGAGGGAAUUCACUCAGAACUAACAAGAAUGAUAACAUGCUCCGACUUGAGCGGUUUAGGAACUGCUGGAAGGCUCUAGGGGAAUAAAGAUGGAAUGACUUCUAAUGUUUAGGUCCGUAUGAUUUGAAAUACUUGCACAUAAACCGCACAAAAGCGUUCCUGGAAAUCUCAGCCCAAAAAAGGACGUUUAGUAAUUCUAAAAGGGACUACAGGAUGAAAAACAAUAGUUUUGGCAGUUAAAGUUUGAGAUUCGACGGUGCCGUAGAUCCGUUUGGUCAUCAGGUGUUACGAGCCACACCCAUGUCUAGCUAGAAUAGUGUGUUAGGCUCAGGCUAGAGAAGAAACUUGGAACAAACUGAUGAAAGAAUGAUCAAACCAACGGAAUUCACUCAGAACUAACAAUAAUGAUAACGUGCUCCGACUGGAGCAGUUUAGGAACUGCUGGAAGGCUCUAGGGGAAUAAAGAUGGAAUGACUUCUAAUUUUUAGGUCCGUAUGAUUUGAAAUACUUGCACGCAAACCGCGCGAAAGCGUUCCUGGAAAUAUCAGCCCAAAAAAGGACGUUUAGUAAUUCUAAAAGGGACUACAGGAUGAAAACAAUAGUUUUGGCAGUUAAAGUUUGAGAUUCAACAGUGCCGUAGAUCCGUUUGGUCAUCAGGUGUUAUGAGCCAUACCCAUGUCUAGCUAGAGUAGUGUGCUAGGCUCAGGCUAGAGAAGAAACAGGGAACAAACUGAUGAAAGAAUGAUCAUACCGAGGGAAUUCACUCAGAACUAACAAGAAUGAUAACGUGCUCCGACUGGAGCGGUUUAGGAACUGCUGGAAGGCUCUAGGGGAAUAAAGAUGGAGUGACUUCUAAAUUUUUAGGUCCGUAUGAUUUAAAAUACUUGCACACAAACCGCACGAAAGCGUUCCUUGAAAUCUCAGCCCAAAAAAGGACGUUUAGUAAGUCUAAAAGGGACUAUAGGAUGAAAAACAAUAGUUUUGGCAGUUAAAGUUUGAGAUUCGAUGGUGCCGUAGAUCUGUUUGGUCAUCAGGUGUUACGAGCCACACCCAUGUCUAGUUGGAAUAGUGUGCUAGGCUCAGACUAGAGAAGAAACAGGGAACAAACUGAUGAAAGAAUGAUCAAACCGAGGAAAUUCACUCAGAACUAACAAUAAUGAUAACAUGCUCCGACUGGAGCGGUUUAGGAACUGCUGGAAGGCUCUAGGGGAAUAAAGAUGGAAUGACUUCUAAAUUUUUAGGUCCGUAUGAUUUGAAAUAGUUGCACACAAACUGCGCGAAAGCGUUCCUGGAAAUCUCAGCCCAAAAAAGGACGUUUAGUAAUUCUAAAAGGGACUAUAGGAUGAAAAACAAUAGUUUUGGCAGUUAAAGUUUGAGAUUCGACGGUGCCGUAGAUCCGUUUGGUCAUCACGUGUUACAAGCCACACCCAUGUCUAGCUAGAGUAGUGUGCUAGGCUCAGACUAUAGAAGAAACGGGGACCAAACUGAUGAAAGAAUGAUCAAACCGAGGAAAUUCACUCAGAACUAACAAUAAUGAUAACAUGCUCCGACUGGAGCGGUUUAGGAACUACUGGAAGGCUCUAGGGGAAUAAAGAUGGAAUGACUUCUAAAUUUUUAGGUCCGUAUGAUUUUAAAUAGUUGCACACAAACUGCGCGAAAGCGUUCCUGGAAAUCUCAGCCCAAAAAAGGACGUUUAGUAAUUCUAAAAGGGACUACAGGAUGAAAAACAAUAGUUUGGGCAGUUAAAAUUUGAGAUUCGACGGUGCCGUAGAUCCGUUUGGUCAUCAGGUGUUACGAGCCACACCCAUGUCUAGCUAGAGUAGUGUGCUAGGCUCAGGCUAGAGAAGAAACAGGGAACAAACUGAUGAAAGAAUGAUCAUACCGAGGGAAUUCACUCAGAACUAACAAGAAUGAUAACGUGCUCUGACUGGAGCGGUUUAAGAACUGUUGGAAGGCUCUAGGGGAAUAAAGAUGGAAUCACUUCAAAUUUUUACGUCCGUGUGAUUUGAAAUACUUGCACACAAACCGCACGAAAGCGUUCCUGGAAAUCUCAGCCCAAAAAAGGACGUUUAGUAAGUCUAAAAGGGACUACACGAUGAAAAACAAUAGUUUUGGCAGUUAAAGUUUGAGAUUCGACAGUGCCGUAGAUCCGUUUGGUCAUCAGGUGUAACGAGCCACACCCAUGUCUAGAUAGAGUAGUGUGCUAGGCUCAAACUAGAGAAGAAACGGGGAACAAACUGAUGAAAGAAUGAUCAUACCGAGGGAAUUCACUCAGAAAUAACAAGAAUGAUAACGUGCUCUGACUGGAGCGGUUUAGGAACUGCUGGAAGGCUCUAGGGGAAUAAAGAAGGAAUGACUUCUAAUUUUUAGGUCCGUAUGAUUUGAAAUACGUGCACACAAACCCCGAGAAAGCGUUCCUGGAAAUCUCGACCCAAAAAAGGACGUUUAGUAAUUCUAAAAGGGACUACGGGAUGAAAAACAAUAGUUUUGGCAGUUAAAGUUUGAGAUUCGAUAAUGCCGUAGAUCCAUUUGGUCAUCAGGUGUAACGAGCCACACCCAUGUCUAGCUAGAGUAGUGUGCUAGGCUCAGACUAGAGAAGAAACAGGGAACAAACUGAUGAAAGAAUGAUCAUAUCGAGGGAAUUCACUCAGAACUAACAAGAAUGAUAACAUGCUCCGACUUGAGCGGUUUAGGAACUGCUGGAAGGCUCUAGGGGAAUAAAGAUGGAAUGACUUCUAAUUUUUAGGUCCGUAUGAUUUGAAAUACUUACACACAAACCACGCGAAAGCGUUCCUGGAAAUCUCAGCCCAAAAAAGGACGUUUAGUAAUUCUAAAAGGGACUACAUGAUGAAAAACAAUAGUUUUCGCAGUUAAAGUUUGAGAUUCGACGGUGCCGUAGAUCCGUUUGGUCAUCAAGUGUUACGAGCCACACCCAUGUCUAGCUAGAAUAGUGUGUUAGGCUCAGCCUAGAGAAGAAACGGGGAACAAACUGAUGAAAGAAUGAUCAUACCGAGGGAAUUCACUCAGAACUUACAAGAAUGAUAACGUGCUCCGACUUGAGCGGUUUAAGAACUGUUGGAAGGCUCUAGGGGAAUAAAGAUGGAAUCACUUCAAAUUUUUACGUCCGUGUGAUUUGAAAUACUUGCACACAAACCCCGAGAAAGCGUUCCUGGAAAUCUCGGCCGAAAAAAGGAUGUUUAAUAAUUCUAAAAGGGACUACAGGAUGAAAAACAAUAGCUUUGGCAGUUAAAGUUUGUGAUUCGAUGGUGCCGUAGAUCUGUUUGGUCAUCAGGUGUUAUGAGCCACACCCAUGUCUAGCUAGAAUAGUGUGUUAGGCUCAGGCUAGAGCAGAAACUAGGAACAAACUUAUGAAAGAAUGAUCAUACCGAGGGAAUUCACUCAGAACUAACAAGAAUGAUAACGUGCUCCGACUGGAGCGGUUUAGGAACUGCUGGAAGGCUCUAGGGGAAUAAAGAUGGAAUGACUUCUAAUUUUUAGGUCCGUAUGAUUUGAAAUACAUGCACACAAACCCCAAGAAAGCGUUCCUAGAAAUCUCAGCCCAAAAAGGACGUUUAGUAAUUCUAAAAGGGACUACAGGAUGAAAAACAAUAGGUUUGGCAGUUAAAGUUUGAGAUUCGAUAAUGCCGUAGAUCCGUUUGGUCAUCAGGUGUAACGAGCCACACCCAUGUCUAGCUACAUUAGUGUGCUAGGCUCAGACUAGAGAAGAAACGGGGAACAAACUGAUGAAAGAAUGAUCAUACCGAGGGAAUUCACUCAGAACUAACAAGAACGAUAACAUGCUCCGACUGCAGCGGUUUAGGAACUGCUGGAAGGCUCUAGGGGAAUAAAGAAGGAAUGACUUCUAAUUUUUAGGUCCGUAUGAUUUGAAAUACUUGCACACAAACCGCGCGAAAGCAUUCCUGGAAAUCUCAGCCCAAAAAAGGACGUUUAGUAAUUCUAAAAGGGACUACAGGAUGAAAAACAAUAAUUUUGGCAGUUAAAGUUUGAGAUUCGACGGUGCCGUAGAUCCGUUUGGUCAUCAGGUGUUACGGGCCAUACCCAUGUCUAGCUAGAAUAGUGUGUUAGGCUCAGGUUAGAGAAGAAACGGGGAACAAAGUGAUGAAAGAAUGAUCAUACCGAGGGAAUUCACUCAGAACUAACAAGAAUGAUAACGUGCUCCGACUGGAGCGGUUUAGGAAUUGCUGGAAGGCUCUAGGGGAAUAAAGAUGGAAUGACUUCUAUAUUUUACGUCCGUAUGAUUUGAAAUACUUGCACACAAACCACGCAAAAGCACUCCUGGAAAUAUCAGCCUAAAAAGGAUGUUUAGUAAUUCUAAAAGGGACUACAGGAUGAAAAAUAAUAGUUUUGGCAGUUAAAAUUUGAGAUUCAACGGUGCCGUAAAUCCGUUUGGUCAUCAGGUGUUACGAGCCACACCCAUGUCUAGCUAGAAUAGUGUGUUAGGCUCAGGUUAGAGAAGAAACGGGGAACAAACUGAUGAAAGAAUGAUCAUACAAGGGGAAUUCACUCAGAACUAUCAAGAAUGAUAACGUGCUCCGACUGGAGCAGUUUAGGAACUGCCGGAAGGCUCUAGGGGAAUAAAGAUGGAAUGACUUCUAAUUUUUAUGUCCGUAUGAUUUGAAAUACUUGCACACAAACCACGCAAAAGCGUUCCUGGAAAUCUCAGCCUAAAAAGGACGUUUAGUAAUUCUAAAAGGGACUACAGGAUGAAAAACAAUAGUUUGGGCAGUUAAAAUUCGAGAUUCGACGGUGCCGUAGAUCCGUUUGGUCAUCAGGUGUUACGAGCCACACCCAUGUCUAGCUAGAAUAGUGUGUUAGGCUCAGGCUAGAGAAGAAACGGGGAACAAACUGAUGAAAGAAUGAUCAUAUCGAGGGAAUUCACUCAGAACUAACAAGAAUGAUAACGUGCUCCGACUGGAGCGGUUUAGUAACUGCUGGAAGGCUCUAGGGGAAUAAAGAUGGAAUGACUUCUAAUUAUUAGGUCCGUAAGAUUUGAAUUACAUGCACACAAACCCCGAGAAAGCGUUCCUGGAAAUCUCGGUCGAAAAAAGGAUGUUUAGUAAUUCUAAAAGGGACUACAGGAUGAAAAACAAUAGUUUUGGCAGUUAAAGUUUGUGAUUCGAUGGUGCCGUAGAUCUGUUUGGUCAUCAGGUGUUACGAGCCACACCCAUGUCUAGCUAGAAUAGUGUGUUAGGCUCAGGCUAGAGCAGAAACGGGGAACAAACUUAUGAAAGAAUGAUCAUGCCGAGGGAAUUCACUCAGAACUAACAAGAAUGAUAACGUGCUCCGACUGGAGCGGUUUAGGAACUGCUGGAAGGCUCUAGGGGAAUAAAGAUGGAAUGACAUCAAAUUUUUAGGUCCGUAUGAUUUGAAAUACUUGCACACAAACCGCAAGAAAGCGUUCUUGGAAAUCUCCGCCCAAAAAAGGACGUUUAGUAAUUCUAAAAGGGUCUACAGGAUGAAAAACAAUAGUUCUGGCAGUUAAAGUUUGAGAUUCGAUAAUGUCGUAGAUCCGUUUGGUCAUCAGGCGUAACGAGCCACACCCAUUUCUAGCUAGAGUAGUGUGCUAGGCUCAGACUAGAGAAGAAACGGGGAACAACCUGAUGAAAGAAUGAUCAUACCGAGGGAAUUCACUCAGAACUAACAAGAAUGAUAACGUGCUCCGACUGGAGCGGUUUAGGAACUGCUGGAAGGCUCUACGGGAAUAAAGAAGGAAUGACUUCUAAUUUUUAGGUCCGUAUGAUUUGAAAUACGUGCACACAAACCCCGAGAAAGCGUUCCUGGAAAUCUCGGCCCAAAAAAGGACGUUUAGUAUUCUAAAAGCGACUACAGAAUGAAAAACAAUAGUUUUGGUAGUUAAAGUUUGAGAUUUAACGGUGCCGUAGAUCUGUUUGGUCAUCAGGUGUUACGAGCCACACCCAUGUCUAGCUAGAAUAGUGUGUUAGGCUCAGGCUAGAUAAGAAACAGGGAACAAAGUGAUGAAAGAAUGAUCAUACCAAGGGAAUUCACUCAGAACUAACAAGAACGAUAACAUGCUCCGACUGGAGUGGUUUAGGAACUGCUGGAAGGCUCUAGGGGAAUAAAGAUGGAAUGACUUCUAAUUUUUAGGUCUGUAUGAUUUGAAAUACUUGCACACAAACCGCACGAAAGCGUUCCUGGAAAUCUCAUCCCAAAAAAGGACGUUUAGUAAUUCUAAAAGGGACUACAGGAUGAAAAACAAUAGUUUUGGCAGUUAAAGUUUGAGAUUCGAUAAUGCUGUAGAUCCGUUUGGUCAUCAGGUGUAACGAGCCACACCCAUGUCUAGCUAGAGUAGUGUGCUAGGCUCAGACUAGAGAAGAAACGGGGAACAAACUGAUGAAAGAAUGAUCAUACCGAGGGAAUUCACUCAGAACUAACAAUAAUGAUAACGUGCUCCGACUGGAGCGGUUUAGGAACUGCUGGAAGGCUCUAGGGGAAUAAAGAUGGAAUGAGUUCUAAUUUUUAGGUCUGUAUGAUUUGAAAUACUUGCACACAAACCGCGUGAAAGCAUUCCUGGAAAUUUCAGCCCAAAAAAGGACGUUUAGUAAUUUUAAAAGGGACUACACGAUGAAAAACAAUAGUUUUGGCAGUUAAAGUUUGAGAUUCGACGGUGCCGUAGAUCCGUUUGGUCAUCAGGUGUUACGAGCCACACCCAUGUCUAGCUAGAAUAGUAUGUUAGGCUCGGGUAAGAGAAGAAACGGGGAACAAACUGAUGAAAGAAUGAUCAUACCAAGGGAAUUCACUCAGAACUAACAAGAAUGAUAACGUGCUCCGACUGGAGCGGUUUAGGAACUGCUGGAAGGCUCUAGGGGAAUAAAGAUGGAAUGACUUCUAAUUUUUACGUUCGUAUGAUUUGAAAUACUUGCACACAAACCACGCAAAAGCGUUCCUGGAAAUCUCAUCCUAAAAAAGGACGUUUAGUAAUUCUAAAAGGGACUACAGGAUGAAAAAUAAUAGUUUGGGCAGUUAAAAUUUGAGAUUCGACGGUGCCGUAGAUCCGUUUGGUCAUCAGGUGUUACGAGCCACACCCAUGUCUAGCUAGAAUAGUGUGUUAGGCUCAGGCUAGAGAAGAAACGGGGAACAAACUGAUGAAAGAAUGAUCAUAUCGAGGGAAUUCACUCAGAACUAACAAGAAUGAUAACGUGCUCCGACUGGAGCAGUUUAGAAACUGCUGGAAGGCUCUAGGGGAAUAAAGAUGGAAUGACUUCUAAUUUUUAGGUCUGUAUGAUUUGAAAUACGUGCACACGAACCCCGAGAAAGCGUUCCUGGAAAUCUCGGCCCAAAAAAGGACGUUUAGUAAUUCUAAAAGGGACUACAGGAUGAAAAACAAUAGUUUUGGCAGUUAAAGUUUGAGAUUCGACGGUGCCGUAGAUCCGUUUGUUCAUCAGGUGUUACGAGCCACACCCAUGUCUAGCUAGAAUAGUGUGUUAGGCUCAGGCUAGAGAAGAAACGGGGAACAAACUGAUGAAAGAAUGAUCAUACCGAGGGAAUUCACUCAGAACUAACAAGAAUGAUAACGUGCUCCGACUGGAGCGGUUUAGGAACUGCUAGAAGGCUCUAGGGGAAUAAAGAAGGAAUGACUUCUAAUUUUUAGGUCCGUAUGAUUUGAAAUACGUGCACACAAACCCCGAGAAAGCGUUCCUGGAAAUCUUGGCCCAAAAAAGGACGUUUAGUAUUCUAAAAGCGACUACAGAAUGAAAAACAAUAGUUUUGCUAGUUAAAGUUUGAGAUUUGAUGGUGCCGUAGAUCUGUUUGGUCAUCAGGUUUUACGAGCCACACCCAUGUCUAGCUAGAAUAGUGUGUUAGGCUCAGGCUAGAAAAGAAACAGGGAAUAAAGUGAUGAAAGAAUGAUCAUACCAAGGGAAUUCACUCAGAACUAACAAGAACGAUAACAUGCUCCGACUGGAGUGGUUUAGAACUGCUGGAAGGCUAAAGGGGAAUAAAGAUGGAAUGACUUCUAAUUUUUAGGUCCGUAUGAUUUGAAAUACUUGCACACAAACCGCACGAAAGUGUUCCUGGAAAUCUCAGCCCAAAAAAGGACGUUUAGUAAUUCUAAAAGGGACUACAGGAUGAAAAACAAUAGUUUUGGCAGUUAAAGUUUGAGAUUCGAUAAUGACGUAGAUCCGUUUGGUCAUCAGGUGUAACGAGCCACACCCAUGUCUAGCUAGAGUAGUGUGCUAGGCUCAGACUAGAGAAGAAACGGGGAACAAACUGAUGAAAGAAUGAUCAUACCGAGGGAAUUCACUCAGAACUAACAAUAAUGAUAACGUGCUCCGACUAGAGCGGUUUAGGAACUGCUGGAAGGCUCUAGGGGAAUAAAGAUGGAAUGACUUCUAAUUUUUAGGUCCCUAUGAUUUGAAAUACUUGCACACAAACCGCGUGAAAGCAUUCCUGGAAAUUUCAGCCCAAAAAAGGACGUUUAGUAAUUUUAAAAGGGACUACACGAUGAAAAAGAAUAGUUUUGGCAGUUAAAGUUUGAGAUUCGACGGUGCCGUAGAUCCGUUUGGUCAUCAGGUGUUACGAGACACACCCAUGUCUAGCUAGAAUAGUAUGUUAGGCUCGGGUUAGAGAAGAAACGGGGAACAAACUGAUGAAAGAAUGAUCAUACCAAGGGAAUUCACUCAGAACUAACAAGAAUGAUAACGUGCUCCGACUGGAGCGGUUUAGGAACUGCUGGAAGGCUCUAGGGGAAUAAAGAUGGAAUGACUUCUAAUUUUUACGUUCGUAUGAUUUGAAAUACUUGCAAACAAACCACGCAAAAGCGUUCCUGGAAAUUUCAUCCUAAAAAAGGACGUUUAGUAAUUCUAAAAGGGACUACAGGAUGAAAAAUAAUAGUUUGGGCAGUUAAAAUUUGAGAUUCGAUGGUGCCGUAGAUCCGUUUGGUCAUCAGGUGUUACGAGCCACACCCAUGUCUAGCUAGAAUAGUGUGUUAGGCUCAGGCUAGAGAAGAAACGGGGAACAAACUGAUGAAAGAAUGAUCAUAUCGAGGGAAUUCACUCAGAACUAACAAGAAUGAUAACGUGCUCCGACUGGAGCAGUUUAGAAACUGCUGGAAGGCUCUAGGGGAAUAAAGAUGGAAUGACUUCUAAUUUUUAGGUCUGUAUGAUUUGAAAUACGUGCACACAAACCCCGAGAAAGCGUUCCUGGAAAUCUCGUCCGGAAAAAGGAUGUUUAAUAAUUCUAAAAGGGACUACAGGAUGAAAAACAAUAGUUUUGGCAGUUAAAGUUUGUGAUUCGAUGGUGCCGUAGAUCUGUUUGGUCAUCAGGUGUUACGGGCCACACCCAUGUCUAGCUAGAAUAGUGUGUUAGGCUCAGGCUAGAGCAGAAACGGGGAGCAAACUUAUGAAAGAAUGAUCAUAGCGAGGGAAUUUACUCAGAACUAACAAGAAUGAUAACGUGCUCCGACUGGAGCGGUUUAGGAACUGCUGGAAGGCUCUAGGGGAAUAAAGAUGGAAUGACUUCAAAUUUUCAGGUAUGUAUGAUCUGAAAUACUUGCACACAAACCGCGAGAAAGCGUUCCUGGAAAUCUCAACCCAAAAAAGGAUGUUUAGUAAUUCUAAAAGGGACUACAGGAUUAAAAACAAUAGUUUUGGCAGUUAAAGUUUGAGAUUCGAUAAUGUCGUAGAUCCGUUUGGUCAUCAGGUGUAACGAGCCACACCCAUGUCUAGCUAGAGUAGUGUGCUAGGCUCAUACUAGAGAAGAAACGGGGAACAAACUGAUGAAAGAAUGAUCAUACCGAGGGAAUUCACUCAGAACUAACAAGAAUGAUAACGUGCUCCGACUGGAGCGGUUUAGGAACUGCUGGAAGGCUCUAGGGGAAUAAAGAUGGAAUGACUUCUUAUUUUUAGGUCCGUAUGAUUUGAAAUACAUGCACACAAACCCCAAGAAAGCGUUCCGGGAAAUCUCGGCCCAAAGAAUGAUGUUUAGUAAUUCUAAAAGGGACUAUAGAAUGAAAAACAAUAGUUUUGGCAGUUAAAGUUUGAGAUUUGACGGUGUCGUAGAUCUGUUUGGUCAUCAGGUGUUACGAGCCACACCCAUUUCUAGCUAGAAUAGUGUGUUAGGCUCAGGCUAGAAAAGAAACGGGGAACAAAGUGAUGAAAGAAUGAUCAUACCGAGGGAAUUCACUCAGAACUAACAAGAAUGAUAACAUGCUCCGACUAGAGCGGUUUAGGAACUGCUGGAAGGCUCUAGGGGAAUAAAUAUGGAAUGACUUCUAAUUUUCAGGUCCGUAUGAUUUGAAAUACUUGCACACAAACCGCGCGAAAGCGUUCCUGGAAAUCUCAUCCCAAAGAAGGUCGUUUAGUAAUUCUAAAAGGGACUACAGGAUGAAAAACAAUAGUUUUGGCAAUUUAAGGUUUGAGAUUCGACGGUGCCGUAGAUCCGUUUGGUCAUCAGGUGUUACGAGCCACACCCAUGUCUAGCUAGAAUAGUGUGCUAGGCUCAGGCUAGAGAAGAAACAGGGAACAAACUGAUGAAAGAAUGAUCAAACCGAGGGAAUUCACUCAGAACUAACAAUAAUGAUAACGUUCUCCGUCUGGAGCGGUUUAGGAACUGCUGGAAGGCUCUAGGGGAAUAAAGAUGGAAUGACUUCUAAUUUUUAGGUCCGUAUGAUUUGAAAUACUUGCACACAAACCGCGCCAAAUCGUUCCUGGAAAUCUCAGCCCAAAAAAGGACGUUUAGUAAUUCUAAAAGGGACUACAGGAUGAAAAACAAUAGUUUUGGCAGUUAAAGUUUGAGAUUCGAUGGUGCCGUAGACCCGUUUGGUCAUCAGGUGUUACGAGCCACACCCAUGUCUAGCUAGAGUAGUGUGCUAGGUUCAGACUAGAGAAGAAACAGGGAACAAAGUGAUGAAAGAAUGAUCAUACCGAGGGAAUUCACUCAGAACUAACAAGAAUGAUAACGUGCUCCGACUGGAGCGGUUUAGGAACUGCUGGAAGGCUCUAGGGGAAUAAAGAUGGAAUGACUUCUAAUUUUUACGUCCGUAUGAUUUGAAAUACUUGCACACAAACCACGCAAAAGCGUUCCUGGAAAUCUCAGCCUAAAAAAGGACGUUUAGUAAUUCAAAAAGGGACUACAAAAUGAAAAACAAUAGUUUUGGCAGUUAAAGUUUGAGAUUCGAUGGUGCCGUAGAUCCGUUUGGUCAUCAGGUGUUACGAGCCACACCCAUGUCUAGCUAGGAUAGUGUGUUAGGCUCAGGCUAGAGAAGAAACGGGGAACAAACUGAUGAAAGAAUGAUCAUACCGAGGGAAUUCACUCAGAACUAACAAGGAUGAUAACAUGCUCCGACUAGAGCGGUUUAGGAACUGCUGGAAGGCUCUAGGGGAAUAAAGAUGGAAUGACUUCUAAUUUUUAGGUCCGUAUGAUUUGAAAUACUUGCACACAAACCGCAAGAAAGCGUUCCUGGAAAUCUCAGCCCAAAAAAGGACGUUUAGUAAUUCUAAAAGGGACUACAGGAUGAAAAACAAUAGUUCUGGCAGUUAAAGUUUGAGAUUCGAUAAUGCCGUAGAUCUGUUUGGUCAUCAGGUGUAACGAGCCACACCCAUGUCUAGCUAGAGUAGUGUGCUAGGCUCAGACUAGAGAAGAAACGGGGAACAAACUGAUGAAAGAAUGAUUAUACCGAGGGAAUUCACUCAGAACUAACGAGAAUGAUAACGUGCUCCGACUGGAGCGGUUUAGGAACUGCUGGAAGGCUCUAGGGGAAUAAAGAUGGAAUGACUUCAAAUUUUUAGGUCUGUAUGAUUUGAAAUACUUGCACACAAACCGCAAGAAAGCGUUCCUUGAAAUCUCAGCCCAAAAAAGGACGUUUAGUAAUUCUAAAAGGGACUACAGGAUGAAAAACAAUAGUUCUGGCAGUUAAAGUUUGAGAUUCGAUAAUGUCGUAGAUCCGUUUGGUCAUCAGGUGUAACGAGCCACACCCAUGUCUAGCUAGAGUAGUGUGCUAGGCUCAGAAUAGAGAAGAAACGGGGAACAAACUGAUGAAAGAAUGAUCAUACCGAGGGAAUUCACUCAGAACUAACAAGAAUGAUAACGUGCUCCGACUGGAGCGGUUUAGGAACUGCUGGAAGGCUCUAGGGGAAUAAAGAAGGAAUGACUUCUAAUUUUUAGGUCCGUAUGAUUUGAAAUACGUGCACACAAACCGCGCGAAAGCGUUCCUGGAAAUCUCAGCCAAAAAAAGGACGUUUAGUAUUCUAAAAGGGACUACAGAAUGAAAAACAAUAGUUUUGGCAGUUAAAGUUUGAGAUUCGACGGUGCUGUAGAUCCGUUUGGUCAUCAGGUGUUACGAGCCACACCCAUGUCUAGCUAGAAUAGUGUGCUAGGCUCAGGCUAGAGAAGAAAAGGGGAACAAACUAAUGAAAGAAUGAUCAAUCCGAGGGAAUUCACUCAGAACUAACAAUAAUGAUAACGUGCUCCGACUGGAGCGGUUUAGGAACUGCUGGAAGGCUCUAGGCGAAUAAAGAUGGAAUGACUUCUAAUUUUUACGUCCGUAUGAUUUGAAAUACUUGCACACAAACCACGCAAAAGCGUUCCUGGAAGUCUCGGCCUAAAAAGGACGUUUAGUAAUUCUAAAAGGGACUACAGGAUGAAAAAUAAUAGUUUGGGCAGUUAAAAUUUGAGAUUCGACGGUGCCGUAGAUCCAUUUGGUCAUCAAGUGUUACGAGCCACACCCAUGUCUAGCUAGAAUAGUGUGUUAGGCUCAGGCUAGAGAAGAAACGGGGAACAAACUGAUGAAAGAAUGAUCAUACCAAGGGAAUUCACUCAGAACUAACAAGAAUGAUAACGUGCUCCGACUGGAGCAGUUUAGAAACUGCUGGAAGGCUCUUGGGGAAUAAAGAUGGAAUGACUUCAAAUUUUUAGGUCCGUAUGAUUUGAAAUACUUGCACACAAACCACGCGAAAGCGUUCCUGGAAAUCUCAGCCCAAAAAAGGACGUUUAGUAAUUCUAAAAGGGACUACAUGAUGAAAAACAAUAGUUUUGGCAGUUAAAGUUUGAGAAUCGUCGGUGCCGUAGAUCCGUUUGGUCAUCAGCUGUAACGAGCCACACCCAUGUCUAGCUAGAGUAGUGUGCUAGGCUCAGACUAGAGAAGAAACAGGGAACAAAGUGAUGAAAGAAUGAUCAUACCGAGGGAAUUCACUUAGAACUAACAAGAAUGAUAACAUGCUCCGACUUGAGCGAUUUAGGAACUUCUGGAAGGCUCUAGGGGAAUAAAGAUGGAAUGACUCAAAUUUUUAGGCCCGUAUGAUUUGAAAUACAUGCACACAAACCGCGAGAAAGUGUUCCUGGAAAUCUUAGCCCAAAAAAGGACGUUUAGUAAUUCUAAAAGGGACUACAGGAUGAAAAACAAUAGUUUUGGUAGUUAAAGUUUCAGAUUCGAUAAUGCCCUAGAUCCGUUUGGUCAUCAGGUGUAACGAGCCACACCAAUGUCUAGCUAGAGUAGUGUGCUAGGCUCAGACUAGAUAAGAAACGGGGAAGAAACUGAUGAAAGAAUGAUCAGACCGAGGGAAUUCACUCAGAACUAACAAUAAUGAUAACGUGCUCCGAGUGGAGCGGUUUAGGAACUGCUGGAAGGCUCUAGGGGAAUAAAGAUGGAAUGACUUCUAAUUUUUAGGUCCGUAUGAUUUGAAAUACGUGCACACAAACCCCGAGAAACCGUUCCUUGAAAUCUCGGCCCAAAAAAGGACGUUUAGUAAUUCUAAAAGGGACUACAAAAUGAAAAACAAUAGUUUUGGCAGUUAAAGUUUGAGAUUCGACGGUGUCGUAGACCCGUUUGGUCUUCAGGUGUUACGAGCCACACCCAUGUCUAGCCAGAGUAGUGUGCUAGGUUCAGACUAGAGAAGAAACGGGGAACAAAGUGAUGAAAGAAUGAUCAUACCGAGGGAAUUCACUCAGAACUAACAAGAAUGAUAACGUGCUCCGACUGGAGCGGGUUAGGAACUCCUGGAAGGCUCUAGGGGAAUAAAGAUGGAAUGACUUCUAAUUUUUACGUCCGUAUGAUUUGAAAUACUUGCACACAAACCACGCAAAAGCGUUCCUGGAAAUCUCAGCCUAAAAAAGGACGUUUAGUAAUUCUAAAAGGGACUACAGGAUGAAAAAUAAUAGUUUGGUCAUCAGGUGUUACGAGCCACACCCAUGUCUAGCUAGAAUAGUGUGCUAGGCUCAGGCUAGAGAAGAAACGGGGAAUAAACUGAUGAAAGAAUGAUCAAACCGAGGGAAUUCACUCAGAACUAACAAUAAUGAUAACGUUCUCCGUCUGGAGCGGUUUAGGAACUGCUGGAAGGCUCUAGGGGAAUAAAGAUGGAAUGACUUCUAAUUUUUAGGUCCGUAUGAUACGAAAUACUUGCACACAAACCGCGCGAAAUCGUUCCUGGAAAUCUCAGCCCAAAAAAGGACGUUUAGUAAUUCUAAAAGGGACUACAGCAUGAAAAACAAUAGUUCUGGCAGUUAAAGUUUGAGAUUCGAUAAUGCCGUAGAUCCGUUUGGUCAUCAGGUGUAACGAGCCACACCCAUGUCUAGCUAGAGUAGUAUGCUAGGCUCAGACUAGAGAAGAAACGGGGAACAAACUGAUGAAAGAAUGAUUAUACCGAGGGAAUUCACUCAGAACUAACAAGAAUGAUAACGUGCUCCGGCUGGAGCGGUUUAGGAACUGCUAGAAGGCUCUAGGGGAAUAAAGAUGGAAUGACUUCAAAUUUUUAGGUCUGUAUGAUUUGAAAUACUUGCACACAAACCGCAAGAAAGCGUUCCUGGAAAUCUCAGCCCAAAAAAGGACGUUUAGUAAUUCUAAAAGGGACUAUAGGAUGAAAAACAAUAGUUCUGGUAGUUAAAGUUUGAGAUUCGAUAAUGUCAUAGAUCCGUUCGGUCAUCAGGUGUAACGAGCCACACCCAUGUCUAGCUAGAGUAGUGUGCUAGGCUCAGACUAGAGAAGAAACGGGGAACAAACUGAUGAAAGAAUGAUCAUACCGAGGGAAUUCACUCAGAACUAACAAGAAUGAUAACGUGCUCCGACUGGAGCGGUUUAGGAACUGCUGGAAGGCUCUAGGGGAAGAAAGAAGGAAUGACUUCUAAUUUUUAGGUCCGUAUGAUUUGAAAUACGUGCACACAAACCGCGCGAAAGCGUUCCUGGAAAUCUCAGCCCAAAAAAGGACGUUUAGUAUUCUAAAAGGGACUACAGAAUGAAAAACAAUAGUUUUGGCAGUUAAAGUUUGAGAUUCGACGGUGCCGUAGAUCCGUUUGGUCAUCAGGUGUUACGAGCCACACCCAUGUCUAGCUAGAAUAGUGUGCUAGGCUCAGGCUAGAGAAGAAAAGGGGAACAAACUGAUGAAAGAAUGAUCAAACCGAGGGAAUUCACUCAGAACUAACAAUAAUGAUAACGUGCUCCGACUGGAGCGGUUUAGGAACUGCUGGAAGGCUCUUGGCGAAUAAAGAUGGAAUGACUUCUAAUUUUUACGUCCGUAUGAUUUGAAAUACUUCCACACAAACCAGGCAAAGGCGUUCCUGGAAAUCUCGGCCUAAAAAGGACGUUUAGUAAUUCUAAAAGGGACUACAGGAUGAAAAAUAAUAGUUUGGGCAGUUAAAAUUUUAGAUUCGACGGUGCCGUAGAUCCGUUUGGUCAUCAGGUGUUACGAGCCACACCCAUGUCUAGCUAGAAUAGUGUGUUAGGCUCAGGCUAGAGAAGAAACGGGGAACAAACUGAUGAAAGAAUGAUCAUACCAAGGGAAUUCACUCAGAACUAACAAGAAUGAUAACGUGCUCCGACUGGAGCAGUUUAGAAACUACUGGAAGGCUCUAGGGGAAUAAAGAUGGAAUGACUUCAAAUUUUUAGGUCCGUAUGAUUUGAAAUACUUGCACACAAACCGCGCGAAAGCGUUCCUGGAAAUCUCAGCCCAAAAAAGGACGUUUAGUAAUUCUAAAAGGGACUACAUGAUGAAAAACAAUAGUUUUGGCAGUUAAAGUUUGAGAUUCGUCGGUGCCGUAGAUCCGUUUGGUCAUCAGCUGUAACGAGCCACACCCAUUUCUAGCUAGAGUAGUGUGCUAGGCUCAGACUAAAGAAGAAAUGGGGAACAAAGUGAUGAAAGAAUGCUCAUACCGAGGGAAUUCACUCAGAACUAACAAGAAUGAUAACAUGCUCCGACUUGAGCGAUUUAGGAACUUCUGGAAGGCUCUAGGGGAAUAAAGAUGGAAUGACUCAAAUUUUUAGGUCCGUAUGAUUUGAAAUACUUGCACACAAACCGCGAGAAAGCGUUCCUGGAAAUCUCAGCCCAAAAAAGGACGUUUAGUAAUUCUAAAAGGGACUACAUGAUGAAAAACAAUAGUUUUGGCAGUUAAAGUUUGAGAUUUGAUAAUGCCGUAGAUCCGUUUGGUCAUCAGGUGUAACGAGCCACACCCAUGUCUAGCUAGAGUAGUGUGCUAGGCUAAGACUAGAUAAGAAAAGGGGAAGAAACUUAUGAAAGAAUGAUCAGACCGAGGGAAUUCACUCAGAACUAACAAUAAUGAUAACGUGCUCCGACUGGAGCGGUUUAGGAACUGCUGGAAGGCUCUAGGGGAAUAAAGAUGGAAUGACUUCUAAUUUUUAGGUCCGUAUGAUUUGAAAUACGUGCACACAAACCCCGAGAAACCGUUCCUGGAAAUCUCGGCCCAAAAAAGGAUGUUUAGUAAUUCUAAAAGGGACUACAAAAUGAAAAACAAUAGUUUUGGCAGUUAAAGUUUGAGAUUUGAUGGUGCCGUAGAUCUGUUUGGUCAUCAGGUGUUACGAGCCACACCCAUGUCUAGCUAGAAUAGUGUGUUAGGCUCAGGCUAGAAAAGAAACGGGAAACAAAGUGAUGAAAGAAUGAUCAUACCGAGGGAAUUCACUCAGAACUAACAAGAAUGAUAACAUGCUCUGACUGGAGCGGUUUAGGAACUGCUGGAAGGCUCUAGGGGAAUAAAGAUGGAAUGACUUCUAAUGUUUAGGUCCGUAUGAUUUGAAAUACUUGCACAUAAACCGCGCAAAAGCGUUCCUGGAAAUCUCAGCCCAAAAAAGGACGUUUAGUAAUUCUAAAAGGGACUACAGGAUGAAAAACAAUAGUUUUGGCAGUUAAAGUUUGAGAUUCGACGGUGCCGUAGAUCCGUUUGUUCAUCAGGUGUUACGAGCCACACCCAUGUCUAGCUAGAAUAGUGUGUUAGGCUCAGGCUAGAGAAGAAACGGGGAACAAACUGAUGAAAGAAUGAUCAAACCGAGGGAAUUCACUCAGAACUAACAAUAAUGAUAACGUGCUCCGACUAGAGCGGUUUAGGAACUGCUGGAAGGCUCUAGGGGAAUAAAGAUGGAAUGACUUCUAAUUUUUAGGUCUGUAUGAUUUGAAAUACUUGCACGCAAACCGCGCGAAAGCGUUCCCGGAAAUAUCAGCCUAAAGAAGGACGUUUAGUAAUUCUAAAAGGGACUACAGGAUGAAAAACAAUAGUUUUGGCAGUUAAAGUUUGAGAUUCAACGGUGCCGUAGAUCCGUUUGGUCAUCAGGUGUUACGAGCCACACCCAUGUCUAGCUAGAGUAGUGUGCUAGGCUCAGGCUAGAGAAGAAACAGGGAACAAACUGAUGAAAGAAUGAUCAUACCGAGGGAAUUCACUCAGAACUGAUGAAAGAAUGAUCAAACCAAGGAAAUUCACUCAGAACUAACAAUAAUGAUAACAUGCUCCGACUGGAGCGGUUUAGGAACUGCUGGAAGGCUCUAGGGGAAUAAAGAUGGAAUGACUUCUAAUUUUUAGGUCCGUAUGAUUUGAAAUACGUGCACACAAACCCCGAGAAACCGUUCCUGGAAAUCUCGGCCCAAAAAAGGACGUUUAGUAAUUCUAAAAGGGACAACAAAAUGAAAAACAAUAGUUUUGGCAGUUAAAGUUUGAGAUUCGACGGUGCCGUAGACCCGUUUGGUCAUCAGGUGUUACGAGCCACACCCAUGUCUAGCUAGAGUAGUGUGCUAGGUUCAGACUAGAGAAGAAACGGGGAACAAAGUGAUGAAAGAAUGAUCAUACCGAGGGAAUUCACUCAGAACUAACAAGAAUGAUAACGUGCUCCGACUGGAGCGGGUUAGGAAUUGCUGGAAGGCUCUAGGGGAAUAAAGAUAGAAUGACUUCUAAUUUUUACGUCCGUAUGAUUUGAAAUACUUGCACACAAACCACGCAAAAGCGUUCCUAGAAAUCUCAGCCUAAAAAAGGACGUUUAGUAAUUCUAAAAGGGACUACAGGAUGAAAAAUAAUAGUUUGGCCAGUUAAAAUUUAAGAUUCGACGGUGCCGUAGAUCCGCUUGGUCAUCAGGUGUUACGAGCCACACCCAUGUCUAGCUAGAAUAGUGUGUUAGGCUCAGGCUAGAGAAGAAACGGGGAACAAACUGAUGAAAGAAUGAUCAUACCGAGGG
rnacentral:lncRNA from 1 species